GACGAACGCUGGCGGCAUGCCUAACACAUGCAAGUCGAGCGAGUAGAUCCCUUCGGGGUGAAGCUAGCGGCGGACGGGUGAGUAACACGUGGGCAACCUGCCUCAUAGAGGGGAAUAACCUUCCGAAAGGAAGAUUAAUACCGCAUAAGAUUGUAGCUUCGCAUGAAGUAGCAAUUAAAGGAGCAAUCCGCUAUGAGAUGGGCCCGCGGCGCAUUAGCUAGUUGGUGAGGUAACGGCUCACCAAGGCGACGAUGCGUAGCCGACCUGAGAGGGUGAUCGGCCACAUUGGGACUGAGACACGGCCCAGACUCCUACGGGAGGCAGCAGUGGGGAAUAUUGCACAAUGGGGGAAACCCUGAUGCAGCAACGCCGCGUGAGUGAUGACGGCCUUCGGGUUGUAAAGCUCUGUCUUCAGGGACGAUAAUGACGGUACCUGAGGAGGAAGCCACGGCUAACUACGUGCCAGCAGCCGCGGUAA
rnacentral:rRNA from 1 species